AAGCAGUUGGUAUAAACGCAAAAUACAUAGUAUGUUGCAUAGAGCGUAAAAAGGACUGUGUCUAAAGAAAAUGAAGUUACGUCAACGAGUUGUCGUCCUUCGACGCACAAUAGUAGCCUGUCAUUCUUCAGUAUGUUUUCACCAAUAACCUUAAAUAUUGUGAUAAUAGAUUUACCACGCGGAAAGCAUAUAGGGAUGACAGUGUCAUCGCUACACCUUGUAAUUUAUAACACUCUGUAACUAAAAGCGAGAGACUUGCGAGGUGGGAAACGGAUACGUAUUAAAGAAACAAUUGCCCAACAUAAAAUUC